AUCAACUCAGCCAUGAAGGACUCUAUCAGCAAGCAGCUGCUCCGACUGCGCCUCAAUGGCUCAACCAAUCAUUUCAAGCAAUAGCAUGACAAGCUUGCAGAAUGAGGUCGGCGACGGCCGGUUUACAGGUGACCUAGAAUCAGCUCUGCGGGCGAAGGGCAGCGCCUCGGCCUUGGCUCAGUUGGUUUUGGUCACUGGUCUCCAUUGAGCCAUUGAUGAUGUGUUUCGGAUUGUUCAUGCGCAAGGAUUUGGAUUUUCGUCAAGAACUCAGCAUGGUCGAUCAUUUGUGGAUUA
rnacentral:lncRNA from 1 species